rnacentral:rRNA from 1 species
GACGAACGCUGGCGGCGUGCUUAACACAUGCCAGUCGAACGGUGAAGGGGUCUGCUUUUGUGGGCCCUGGAUGAGUGGCGAACGGGUGAGUAACACGUGAGUAACCUGCCCCCUUCUUCUGGAUAACCGCAUGAAAGUGUGGCUAAUACGGGAUAUUCUGGGUCUGUCGCAUGAUGGGUCUGGGAAAGAUUGCGCCUUUGGGUGUUUUUGGUGGGGGAUGGGCUCGCGGCCUAUCAGCUUGUUGGUGGGGUGAUGGCCUACCAAGGCGGUGACGGGUAGCCGGCCUGAGAGGGUGGACGGUCACACUGGGACUGAGACACGGCCCAGACUCCUACGGGAGGCAGCAGUGGGGAAGAUUGCACAAUGGGCGCAAGCCUGAUGCAGCGACGCCGCGUGAGGGAGGGAGGCCUUCGGGUUGUAAACCUCUUUCGCCAGUGAAGCAGGCCUGCUCCUUGUGGGUGGGUUGACGGUAGCUGGAGAAGAAGCGCCGGCUAACUACGUG